ensembl:snRNA U6 U6 spliceosomal RNA
GUUUUGAAAAAAAAAAAAAACAUAUACUUGGAUCGAUACAGAGAAUAUUAGCAUGGCCCCUGCGAAAGGAUGACACGCAAAUCCGUGAAGCGCUCCAUAUUGCU